CCUACGGGAGGCAGCAGUGAGGAAUAUUGGUCAAUGGGCGAGAGCCUGAACCAGCCAAGUCGCGUGAGGGAGUACUGCCCUAUGGGUUGUAAACCUCUUUUGUCGGGGAGCAAAAGCCGGACGUGUCCGGCUGUGAGAGUACCCGAAGAAAAAGCAUCGGCUAACUCCGUGCCAGCAGCCGCGGUAAUACGGGGGAUGCGAGCGUUAUCCGGAUUUAUUGGGUUUAAAGGGUGCGCAGGCGGAUUUUUAAGUCAGCGGUAAAAUCGUGGGGCUCAACCCCAUCCAGCCGUUGAAACUGGGGAUCUAGAGUGUGCGAGAGGUAUGCGGAAUGCGUGGUGUAGCGGUGAAAUGCAUAGAUAUCACGCAGAACCCCGAUUGCGAAGGCAGCAUACCGGUGCACAACUGACGCUCAGGCACGAAAGCGUGGGUAUCGAACAGGAUUAGAUACCCCGGUAGUC
rnacentral:rRNA from 1 species